rnacentral:misc_RNA from 1 species
GAAGCAUCUCUCUCUUUGCAAUUUUGUUACUGAUGAAAAAGAUAAUAAUCUUCUGCUGCCUCUUGGUUAUGAAUCUAUACUUGAAGAAGUUGCCAGAUGAAAAUAGUUAUGCUUGCCUGAAAUGUCAGUGGCAUGAACUGAAAAUCUGAAACUACAAAUUUCUAUAGGAUUCCAGACCCAUGUUGCUAGUAACCUUGAUGGGGAAACAUCUUAAUUGUUCUGCUUGCUAGUUCUUUUUUUUGGUAAUAAUACUGAUAAUAAAUUGAAAGAAAGGCACCGGGAAUUAUUCAAAUCUUAACCAAGGAGACGUCAAAACAACAUUAAUAAUGAGACAUUUUGAAUUCUGGACUGUCCGGUGCUUUAUAUUAAUGCAUGAAUGGUCUUACAGUUAGUGCAUUAAUUGAGAAAUCCUUACCCUUGCUCCCAGUUUAAUGGUCUAGAAUUUGAAAAUUUUAAUAUAUAUGUAAUCUGCUCUUUAAUUUUAAGGUCUCCCAUUAUUGGAUGCUGAUUCAAUGAAG